GAUGAACGCUGGCGGCGUGCCUAAUACAUGCAAGUCGAGCGAACAGAUGAGGAGCUUGCUCCUCUGACGUUAGCGGCGGACGGGUGAGUAACACGUGGAUAACCUACCUAUAAGACUGGGAUAACUUCGGGAAACCGGAGCUAAUACCGGAUAAUAUAUUGAACCGCAUGGUUCAAUAGUGAAAGACGGUUUUGCUGUCACUUAUAGAUGGAUCCGCGCCGCAUUAGCUAGUUGGUAAGGUAACGGCUUACCAAGGCAACGAUGCGUAGCCGACCUGAGAGGGUGAGGGGGCAAACAUGAAAAGAAACACGGGCCAAGCCCCCGAGGGGAGGCACAAGGGGGGAUCCUCCCGAAAGGGGGGAAGGCCGGAGGGAGAAACCCGGGGGGAGGGAAGAAGGUUUCGGGAUCGAAAACCUUUGUAAUUGGGAAAAAAAAAAUGUAAAAGAAACUUUGCACGUUUGGAGGUCACUAAAUAAAAAAGCCACGGCUAACUCCGUC
rnacentral:rRNA from 1 species